CACCGCCCGUCACAUCAUGGGAGUUGGUUUUACCCGAAGUUGCUGACCUGACCUCGCAAGAGGGAGGAGGCACCUAAGGUAAGGCCGAUGACUGGGAUG
rnacentral:rRNA from 1 species